rnacentral:lncRNA from 1 species
GGCUGAUACUGUUGUCUUUUGCCUCUUCCACUAGUUUUACGGGCGCGAUACAAUCUUGCAUCGCCCUGUGAAACAUUACUGAAGUCCUUAUUCGGAAGGGGUAAACUCGACAUGUAUGUGACCUAUACCACCCUGCCGAACCUACUUACCGAUGACAGAUCAACAUGAUUUCCACUAUCAGUGGCAGACCUACUUUAGUUGUCACCUCUCAUUGAUUCUAUUACAUCUGCUCUUUCUCUGCACAUUAAGUCUUCAGUGCCAAGCGUGGUGUAUGCCGAAAAUGUCAAAGCGAGAAUGAAGAGCAUAGUGUCAUUUUUCCUAAUGACGAUCCCUGAUCAUUUAGGCAUAUAUUUCUAAUUUUGACGUUGCAGGAGUGCUCAUUAACAUUGCUAGUUCCAACAAAGUCAUGUUCGCUGAAGCUUUCAAUACCCUCAAAGUGGAUUAUCACUUGAUUAAUCGGCACAUUACACCCUUAAUUAGCUUCUCUGGCGAUGUUGUCCAAUCCAUCAAAAACAUCAACUUGCCUAUCACCAUUGGUACAUCAUAAAUUUUCCUAUCGCUAUCGUUGACUAUUCUAUCGCUUCCAAUGUAAUCUUAGGGCGCACGGUCUUGGCACAGAUACGCAUCUUCAUCUCCACACAUAAGUUGAUGAUGAAGUACUUUAUGAGACAAAAACAGUAAGGGGUAACCAACUCAGCACUCCUAGUUGCUAUGCUUCGGCUGGAAAACAAGCUCUACACUAAUCUUAUUGCCUUUAUGCAACAGAAUGCCGAAUUAUUUGUCUGGUCCUAUAGUGACAUGCUUGGUAUAUCCCCUGAAGUCAUCUCUUAUCGGCUUAGCAUUGAACCCGUUAUACGACUUGUUCGACAGAAGCAACGUGCUUAUGAUCCUGAGCGAUAUGAAGCCAUGAAAACCGAAGUAAAGAAGCUCUAUGGUAUUGGCUUCAUCAGAGAGGUUGAUUACCCAUCCUGGUGGGCCAAUGUAGUUCUUGUACGGAAGCCAAAAGCAGAUUGGUGCAUGUGUGUAGGUUACACCAACCUUAAUCGUGCAUGCCCGAGAUAUAACUUUCUCUUGCCACAAAUUAAUCAGCUAGUGGACGCUAUGGCAGGCCAAGAGUUACUCAACUUUGUGGAUGCUUACUUUAGCUACAAUUAGAUCUUCAUGCAUCUGGCAGAUUAGUCGCACACAUCCUUCAUCAACGAUAUGGGCCUCUACUGCAGAUCAGGCGCACACAUACGUCAUUGAAGCCAACCUUGAGUAAAUCCAAGCCAUCCUGGAUAUGAAGGUGCCGAAAAUAGUGAAGGACAUCAAGAGCCUUACCGGAUGUGUUGCCGCUCUUACCAAAUUCAUUUCUAAGGCUACCGAUCAAUGUGCCCUAUUCUUCAAUGGUAAUAAGCACAACAUCGUCUGGACUCCCAAAUGUGACAAAGCCUUUUACUGAACUUAAGAACUACAUGAGUAAAGAAACACUCCUAUCUAAACCGGAGUAUGGAGAGGCCCUUAUGAUCUAUUUAUCUUUCUCUUCCAGUGCCGGAAGCACUCCUAUCUUCCAUUGCUGUUAGCUCUGUCUUAAAAUGAAUCAUAGAUUCUUAGCAUACACAAAGGGCAUUGGAAAUUUAUAAUCUC